GGCGAGAGACGCAGACGACGAGAGGCGCGUGUCGUCUGCGUCUCUCCCCCUCC
rnacentral:sRNA from 1 species